rnacentral:rRNA from 1 species
CUGCAGAAGAAGCGCCGGCUAACUACGUGCCAGCAGCCGCGGUAAUACGUAGGGCGCAAGCGUUAUCCGGGAAUUAUUGGGCGUAAAGAGCUCGUAGGCGGUUUGUCGCGUCUGCCGUGAAAGUCCGGGGCUUAACCCCGGAUCUGCGGUGGGUACGGGCAGACUAGAGUGCAGUAGGGGAGACUGGAAUUCCUGGUGUAGCGGUGAAAUGCGCAGAUAUCAGGAGGAACACCGAUGGCGAAGGCAGGUCUCUGGGCUGUAACUGACGCUGAGGAGCGAAAGCAUGGGGAGCGAACAGGAUUAGAUACCCUGGUAGUCCAUGCCGUAAACGUUGGGCACUAGGUGUGGGGGACAUUCCACGUUUUCCGCGCCGUAGCUAACGCAUUAAGUGCCCCGCCUGGGGAGUACGGCCGCAAGGCUAAAACUCAAAGGAAUUGACGGGGGCCCGCACAAGCGGCGGAGCAUGCGGAUUAAUUCGAUGCAACGCGAAGAACCUUACCAAGGCUUGACAUGAACCGGAAUGAUGCAGAGAUGUGUCAGCCACUUGUGGCCGGUUUACAGGUGGUGCAUGGUUGUCGUCAGCUCGUGUCGUGAGAUGUUGGGUUAAGUCCCGCAACGAGCGCAACCCUCGUUCCAUGUUGCCAGCGGGUUAUGCCGGGGACUCAUGGGAGACUGCCGGGGUCAACUCGGAGGAAGGUGGGGACGACGUCAAAUCAUCAUGCCCCUUAUGUCUUGGGCUUCACGCAUGCUACAAUGGCCGGUACAAAGGGUUGCGAUACUGUGAGGUGGAGCUAAUCCCAAAAAGCCGGUCUCAGUUCGGAUUGAGGUCUGCAACUCGACCUCAUGAAGUUGGAGUCGCUAGUAAUCGCAGAUCAGCAACGCUGCGGUGAAUACGUUCCCGGGCCUUGUACACACCACCCGUCAAGUCACGAA